UAAUAUACUAAUUUCUGCAUAGGGAGUGGGUGUCAGCUGAGCAACAUUGGCUAAAGGCAUGAGAUUUAGCUUAGUCGGUGGUGUCAAGGGCUUUUCAUUCUCAUCAUUGGGGUUGAUACGUUCAACUACCCAAUAAUAUGUAUGUAUUGGCCGAGCAUAUAAUUUUGGCGAAUCCUUUACCCAUGCAGCCGAGAUCAGGUAGGUGUUGAGGAGGACCAACUUGUCUGCAUAAUAUGUAAUGUCAUCUCUAUACACAGCAGCCCUAAUUUGUUGGCCAUGUAUAUUUAAAAUCUUGGGUAAGAUGGAGGUAAAAAUAUAAUAACUAUGCAUAUGAUAG
rnacentral:lncRNA from 1 species